rnacentral:rRNA from 1 species
CCUACGGGUGGUAGCAGUGAGGAAUAUUGGUCAAUGGGCGCGAGCCUGAACCAGCCAAGUAGCGUGAAGGAUGACUGCCCUACGGGUUGUAAACUUCUUUUAUAAAGGAAUAAAGUGAGGCACGUGUGCCUUUUUGUAUGUACUUUAUGAAUAAGGAUAGGCUAACUCAGUGCCAGCAGACGCGGUAAUACGGAGGAUCCGAGCGUUAUCCGGAUUUAUUGGGUUUAAAGGGAGCGUAGAUGGGUUGUUAAGUCAGUUGUGAAAGUUUGCGGCUCAACCGUAAAAUUGCAAUUGAUACUGGCAGUCUUGAGUACAUUUGAGGUAUGCGGAAUUCGUGGUGUAGCAGUGAAAUGCUUAGAUAGCACGAAGAACUCCGAUUGCGAAGGCAGCUUACUAAACUGCCACUGACAUUGAGGCUCGAAAGUGUGGGUAUCAAACAGGAUUAGAUACCCCAGUAGUC